AUCCAAGUGACGAGUCCCGAAUAGGACGAAACGUGCGUCCUGGAU
rnacentral:hammerhead_ribozyme from 1 species